rnacentral:rRNA from 1 species
UACAGAGGUCUCAAGCGUUGUUCGGAUUCAUUGGGCGUAAAGCGUCCGCAGGUGGCUGUGUAAGUCUGCUGUUAAAGAGUGAGGCUCAACCUCAUAAAAGCAGUGGAAACUACACGGCUAGAGUGCGUUCGGGGCAGAGGGAAUUCCUGGUGUAGCGGUGAAAUGCGUAGAUAUCAGGAAGAACACCGGUGGCGAAAGCGCUCUGCUAGGCCGCAACUGACACUGAGGGACGAAAGCUAGGGGAGCGAAUGGG